GUUACAGGUCACAAAGCACAAGGAGUAAAAUAAACUUUUAAUGUGGAGCGAUUUUAGAAUUUGGUAUGUUUGUCUUGUAAGCUUAAUAGCCAUAAAAGAAAACAACAUUACCACACAAAAGUAUAUAUUUAUAUAAAGUAGACAUCACGGGCUAUUUACCUAAGGUUGUUUUGACCCUUUCUACGUAGCCAUUUCACCGCCAACCUCUGCUAAAUAUUGGAGUAAAAUUGUGUUUUUUGGGGUGUUUGGCACACAAAGAAAUUCUCAUGUGUAUUUUGUAACGUUGGUGUGUGCUAUUCCUGUACAAAGUUUGAUUUUGUGUUCAGUUACAUCUGCUGAGUAAAAUGACACCCCCAUUGUAUGUCUUUGGCACUAUUUCGAGAAGCUACAGUGCCAUAUAGGAGGCCUGUUCUUUUCAGUAUUCACAGUAGAAUUUUGAGACAGAUUUAAUGAGCCUAUGCUUCCAUUUGGGGUAUUAUAACAGUUUAACUGUUCAAAAAAAAGCCCACAAAGGCCUACCAUUUGUAAAAGUAGACACUCCACGGUAUCUCAUAUGGUGCAUAUUGUACCUUAACAUGCCCCUAUGUGAUAAAAAAUUAUUUUGUGCGUUUUAUUUACAUAUGGUUUGCAUUUUUGCUGGGCAUUUUGUAUAUAUUUCACAUGUGCAAAACUGCAAGUUCAAACUGCCCAAAUUAUGCUUGGCUAAGUCUUCUGAGUAAAAAGACACCCCCAAUGAAUGUCUUUGGCACUAUUUCGUGAAGCUACAGUGCCAUAUAGGAGACCAAGCCAUAUCCGUUUUUACCAAACUUUGAAUUUUGACGCUGGGCCUAUGUGCAAUUUCCAAGCAUCUUAGCAGGGUUUAAAUUCAAACUACCCCACAAAGGCCUACCAUUUCUUAAAGUAGACACCCCAGGGUAUUUCAAAAGGUAUAUUUUGAACCUUAGCGUGGGAUCAUUUUUCCACUAGCUUGUACCAAGUGUAGUGGUAAUAAGUGUUUUUUCUGCCUUUUUGACACACAAAGUGAGUUUGCACAGUAUAUUUUGCAAACCUUAUGUGUGCUACCAGUGUAUAAUACUUCAUAUGUUGCUCAGCUAUGUUGGCUUAGUACAGCAAUACCCCCGUAUGUACCUUUGCCAUGUUCCAAUUUGAAGUAGUUUAGACGGUUGGUUAUUGAAACUUCCCCACAAACACAUACUAUUUAUUAAAGAAUACACCCUGGGGUAAUUCAAAAGGCAUAUUUUGAACCUUAGCGUGGGAUCAUUUUUUCUCUAGUUUGUUCCAGGUGUAGUGGUAAUGAGCAUUUUUAAAUGUUUUUUUUUUUUUACUUUUUGAAACUUUUUUUUACUUUUAAUAACUAGUUUUUAAACUUUCCUAAGUCUGUCAGUUUGGUUCAAAAUAGACCUGAAUCUCUUACAUAGAAUAGUGCAGACAGAUCAGAAAAAAAUGUAUCAUUAAAAGUUCACUAUAGACUAGCUAAAAGAUAAGCAUUCACUUACUGAUUUAAGUACCCUUGUGUGGCUUCUUACAAUGUAAACUAUACAAUAGAAGCUCAGAAAUACAGCAGGUCUGUUCUAUAGAAUAAAACUCUUUUUCUUUCACUGAUACAUUUUUUUCUGAUCUGUCUGCACUAUUCUAUGUAAGAGAUUCAGGUCUAUUUAGAACCAACCUGACAGAUACUUUAUAAAUCAAAGACUGCUACUUUGUAACGACUGAAUACACAGCACAGAGAAAUGUAUCUUUAUUAACAGCACAGAGAAAAGUCUAUCUGCCAUUGUGUAACUGCUAAACAAAACAAUAUGAGGAUUGCAUCCAAAAUUAAAGGGACACUAUAGUCACCUGAACAACUUUAGCUUAAUGAAGCAGUUUUGAUGUAUAGAACAUGCCCCUGCAGCCUCACUGCUCAAUCCUCUGCCAUUUAGGAGUUAAAUCCCUUUGUUUAUGAAUCCUAGUCACACCUCCCUGCAUGUGACUUGCACAGCCUUCCAUAAACACUUCCUGUAAAGAGAGCC
rnacentral:lncRNA from 1 species